GUGUCAGCAGCCGCGGUAAGACAGAGGGUGCAAACGUUGUUCGGAAUUACUGGGCGUAAAGCGAGUGUAGGCGGUUCGAUAAGUCGGGUGUGAAAGCCCUGGGCUCAACCCAGGAAGUGCACUCGAAACUACCGGGCUAGAGUAUCGGAGAGGUUGGUGGAAUUCUCGGUGUAGAGGUGAAAUUCGUAGAUAUCGAGAGGAACACCGGUGGCGAAGGCGGCCAACUGGACGAAUACUGACGCUGAGACUCGAAAGCGUGGGGAGCAAACAGGAUUAGAUACCCGCGUAGUCC
rnacentral:rRNA from 1 species